rnacentral:rRNA from 1 species
GACGAACGCUGGCGGCGUGCUUAACACAUGCAAGUCGAACGCUGAAGCUCAGCUUUUGUUGGGUGGAUGAGUGGCGAACGGGUGAGUAACACGUGAGUAACCUGCCCCCUUCUUUGGGAUAACGCCCGGAAACGGGUGCUAAUACUGGAUAUUCACUGGUCUUCGCAUGGGGGUUGGUGGAAAGGGUUUUUCUGGUGGGGGAUGGGCUCGCGGCCUAUCAGCUUGUUGGUGGGGUGAUGGCCUACCAAGGCUUUGACGGGUAGCCGGCCUGAGAGGGUGACCGGUCACAUUGGGACUGAGAUACGGCCCAGACUCGUACGGGAGGCAGCAGUGGGGAAUAUUGCACAAUGGGCGCACGCCUGAUGCAGCGACGCCGCGUGAGGGAUGGAGGCCUUCGGGUUGUGAACCUCUUUCGCUCAUGGUCAAGCCGCAACAAUGGUUGUGGUGAGGGUAGUGGGUAAAGAAGCGCCGGCUAACUACGUG